rnacentral:rRNA from 1 species
AGUUUGAUCCCGCACUCAGGAUGAACGCUAGCUACAGGCUUAACACAUGCAAGUCGAGGGGAAACGACAUCGAAAGCUUGCUUUUGAUGGGCGUCGACCGGCGCACGGGUGAGUAACGCGUAUCCAACCUGCCCACCACUUGGGGAUAACCUUGCGAAAGUAAGACUAAUACCCAAUGACGUCUCUAGAAGACAUCUGAAGGAGAUUAAAGAUUUAUCGGUGAUGGAUGGGGAUGCGUCUGAUUAGCUUGUUGGCGGGGUAACGGCCCACCAAGGCGACGAUCAGUAGGGGUUCUGAGAGGAAGGUCCCCCACAUUGGAACUGAGACACGGUCCAAACUCCUACGGGAGGCAGCAGUGAGGAAUAUUGGUCAAUGGGCGAGAGCCUGAACCAGCCAAGUAGCGUGCAGGAUGACGGCCCUAUGGGUUGUAAACUGCUUUUAUAAGGGAAUAAAGUGAGCCUCGUGAGGCUUUUUGCAUGUACCUUAUGAAUAAGGACCGGCUAAUUCCGUGCCAGCAGCCGCGGUAAUACGGAAGGUCCGGGCGUUAUCCGGAUUUAUUGGGUUUAAAGGGAGCGUAGGCCGGAGAUUAAGCGUGUUGUGAAAUGUAGACGCUCAACGUCUGCACUGCAGCGCGAACUGGUUUCCUUGAGUACGCACAAAGUGGGCGGAAUUCGUGGUGUAGCGGUGAAAUGCUUAGAUAUCACGAAGAACUCCGAUUGCGAAGGCAGCUCACUGGAGCGCAACUGACGCUGAAGCUCGAAAGUGCGGGUAUCGAACAGGAUUAGAUACCCUGGUAGUCCGCACGGUAAACGAUGGAUGCCCGCUGUUGGUCUGAAUAGGUCAGCGGCCAAGCGAAAGCAUUAAGCAUCCCACCUGGGGAGUACGCCGGCAACGGUGAAACUCAAAGGAAUUGACGGAAGGGCGUGAUUA